UUGAAGUUUGACCCUCAGGUCUUUUAUCAAAAAAAAAAAAAGAACAUUUUCCAAGGUGACAAUUGUAUCCAAAGACCCAAUCUCCAUUAGCAUCACAAACAACUCCUUCGGUGGCUGCAUUUCCAGAUCCUAGCUAAUUGCACUGCCCCAUCAGUGUUAAGAAAAAUUGGGUCUUCAAAAAAAAAAAUUUCAACGGGAGGUUUAAAACUACCCUUAAAACAUGCUCUCAAAGCUAAGAAGAGCUGAUUCGCCC
rnacentral:lncRNA from 1 species